UGAGAAAUGCUAAUUCUUGGGCCUUACCCCCAGGCCUGCUGAAUCAAGAACUCUGGGAGUGGUGUCCAGGAAUCUGCAUUUUAAC
rnacentral:miRNA from 1 species